GAUGAACGCUGGCGGCGUGCCUAAUACAUGCAAGUCGAGCGAACAGACGAGGAGCUUGCUCCUCUGACGUUAGCGGCGGACGGGUGAGUAACACGUGGAUAACCUACCUAUAAGACUGGGAUAACUUCGGGAAACCGGAGCUAAUACCGGAUAAUAUAUUGAACCGCAUGGUUCAAUAGUGAAAGACGGUUUUGCUGGCACUUAUAGAUGGAUCCGCGCCGCAUUAGCUAGUUGGUAAGGUAACGGCUUACCAAGGCAACGAGGCGUAGCCGACCUGAGAGGGUGAUCGGCCACCCUGGAACUGAGACACGGUCCAGGCUCCUACGAGAGGCAGCAGUAGGGAAUCUUCCGCAAUGGGCGAAAGCCUGACGGAGCAACGCCGCGUGAGUGAUGAAGGUCUUCGGAUCGUAAAACUCUGUUAUUAGGGAAGAACAAAUGUGUAAGUAACUAUGCACGUCUUGACGGUACCUAAUCAGAAAGCCACGGCUAACUACGUG
rnacentral:rRNA from 1 species